AUGUCCCAUAUCAAAAUACUGUACCCAGGAACAUAUAUUUUGGGACAGCAAGCUAAACUGAUGGCUGCUCUCAAAUUACUGGAGCAGGAGGGCGACGCCGAGCUCGGCUGGAGCCUCCUCGGCGACGCCUACGACCGCUGCGGCGAGGUCUGCGCCGAGUACGCCAAGACCUUCUACCUCGGUGAGCCAGCCCCUCACACCCCGUCCAUCCGUCCGUCAAUCGUUCGUGAUGUUCCAUCAUCUCAUAGAAAACACGAUGCUCCCCUCGCACUACCUGAGCAGCAGCUCUUAUGGCUUCUGCUCCAGAAUCCUCACGAGAGGAUGACUGUCAGGCAGGCAACCAGCCUGAAGCUUAUCUAUAGUCUAACCAACAACUGUAGUACAUACGCUGUGGUGGAAGUUUCUUGCAGCCCAACAGAUGUGAGCAUCAUGCAGCCUUCCCGAGUCGCUGAUUUCGGGGCGCUCACACACUCUGCUGGAUUCAGAAUAGAAGAUCCUGCUAAUUUCAGCACAAAUAAUUUAUUCAAUCUGAAGCCAACUACUCAUGCAUAUACCAGUGACCCCCUACAGUUUGGAAAUUAUGGGAAGUUUUUGCUCCCCAAAUUGCAGUCCAUUUCUCCGACUGAUCUAGGUACUACGGCGGCCAGAAUUAGUAAGGAAAAACUCCCAUGCUCGCUUGAUGAUGAUGAUGUCUCGCUUGAUACUCCCUUGUCCGCUGAGACGGCACUCUGUCGCCGCUGGCCACCAGCGGCAUUCUGCUCAAUGGCGGCCAAGGCAUGCCUUGUGGCUGUCCAGGAAGCUCGAAUCAGGCUGGACCUGAGAAGAAACAGAGCACAGUCGUGUGAUGUCCUAGCUGAAUCAGAGUACAAUAAGCAAAAGUGCAGAACAGCAUUCACUUGUAUAACAACUCCACGUCCAUGUGCAACUCUGCUGCAAUGGAGCAUUCAUUUGCGUAGUAUUUACUGA
rnacentral:rRNA from 1 species